rnacentral:rRNA from 1 species
UGCAAGUCGAGCGGUAAGGCCCUUCGGGGUACACGAGCGGCGAACGGGUGAGUAACACGUGGGUGAUCUGCCCUGUACUUCGGGAUAAGCCUGGGAAACUGGGUCUAAUACCGGAUAUGACCUUACAUCGCAUGGUGUUUGGUGGAAAGAUUUAUCGGUACAGGAUGGGCCCGCGGCCUAUCAGCUUGUUGGUGGGGUAAUGGCCUACCAAGGCGACGACGGGUAGCCGGCCUGAGAGGGCGACCGGCCACACUGGGACUGAGACACGGCCCAGACUCCUACGGGAGGCAGCAGUGGGGAAUAUUGCACAAUGGGCGAAAGCCUGAUGCAGCGACGCCGCGUGAGGGAUGACGGCCUUCGGGUUGUAAACCUCUUUCGACAGGGACGAAGCGCAAGUGACGGUACCUGUAGAAGAAGCACCGGCCAACUACGUGCCAGCAGCCGCGGUAAUACGUAGGGUGCGAGCGUUGUCCGGAAUUACUGGGCGUAAAGAGCUUGUAGGCGGUUUGUCGCGUCGUCCGUGAAAACUUGGGGCUCAACCCCAAGCUUGCGGGCGAUACGGGCAGACUUGAGUACUGCAGGGGAGACUGGAAUUCCUGGUGUAGCGGUGAAAUGCGCAGAUAUCAGGAGGAACACCGGUGGCGAAGGCGGGUCUCUGGGCAGUAACCGACGCUGAGAAGCGAAAGCGUGGGUAGCGAACAGGAUUAGAUACCCU